GAAAAAUAAAAAUUUAGCCUAUCCCAUGUCGAUUGCCGUGUAAAGAUUUUGACGACUUCUUAUUGGCUACUCCAACAUCAAAACCAUCUCCUACGGAUGGCUCAAUUCUAAAAUCUGCAAAGUGUGGCAACAGGCAAUAUUACGUUUCAACAGCUAAAGU